ACUCUUGAUGCAUGCACGUGAGGCUCUAAGAAUGCAAUUGGAGAAACUGGUUGUUUUACCAGGCGUUGAUUGGAAAUGUGUGCUUCCCUUUAAGCAGUCAAGCUCAACUUGCAGAACUGAUGGGAACCCCUUGGGAAAACUGGCCUCAAAUGUUUGUCUACACAGUCCACAUACAGGGUUCUUAACCUGCGCAUAUUUAACUAUCCGGCUAUUUUGGAGAUUGAAAAAAGAAGACCUGAUUUAUCAUGUGCAAUAUCUCACACAUCUGUCAUUUCUAUUCUACCGCAAUUCGAUGGAGUCUUGUUCUGUGGUCCAGGCUAGAGGGCAGUGGCAUGAUCUCGGCUCACUACAAGCUCUGCCUCCCGGGUUCACGCCAUUCUCCUGCCUCAGCCUCCUGAGUAGCUGGGACUACAGGCGCCCGCCACCACGCCUGGCUAAUUUUUUGUAUAUUUACUAGAGAUGGCUAGUGUUAGCCAAGAUGGUCUCGAUCUCCUGACCUCGUGAUCUGCCCACCUCAGCCUGCCAAAGUGCUGGGAUUACUGGCGUGAGCCACCGUGCCUGGCCAGCAUCCUCUAAUUAUUAUUCAUAGUUUGUGAAUUUAGGCCUACGUGAAUAAUAAUAUAAUAUUUACUAUGAUGUUACUAUCUACCAACCUUAUUUUUCUUUUCUAUAAAAUAGGAGCCAAAAUAAUAUUUAUGUCAUACCUUAUGAAGUUAAAAUAAAAUAUAACGAAUGAGGGGCUUA
ensembl:lncRNA PURPL p53 upregulated regulator of p53 levels